rnacentral:rRNA from 1 species
UGGGGAAUAUUGCACAAUGGGGGAAACCCUGAUGCAGCGACGCCGCGUGAACGAAGAAGGUAUUCGUAUCGUAAAGUUCUGCCCUAUGGGAAGAUAAUGACAGUACCAUAGAAGAAAGCUCCGGCUAAAUACGUGCCAGCAGCCGCGGUAAUACGUAUGGAGCGAGCGUUGUCCGGAAUUAUUGGGCGUAAAGGGUACGCAGGCGGUUUAAUAAGUCGAAUGUUAAAGAUCGGGGCUCAACCCCGCAAAGCAUUGGAAACUGAUAAACUUGAGUAGUGGAGAGGAAAGUGGAAUUCCUAGUGUAGUGGUGAAAUACGUAGAUAUUAGGAGGAAUACCAGUAGCGAAGGCGACUUUCUGGACACAAACUGACGCUGAGGUACGAAAGCGUGGGGAGCAAACAGG